CAGUAGCCGCGGGAAUACGAAGGGUGCAAGCGUUACUCGGAAUUACUGGGCGUAAAGCGUGUGUAGGUGGUGAGUUAAGUCUGCUGUGAAAUCCCCGGGCUCAACCUGGGAACUGCAUUUGUGACUGGCAAGCUAGAGUGUGGCAGAGGGGGGUGGAAUUCCGCGUGUAGCAGUGAAAUGCGUAGAUAUGCGGAGGAACACCGAUGGCGAAGGCAGCCCCCUGGGCCAACACUGACGCUCAUGCACGAAAGCGUGGGGAGCAAACAGGAUUAGAUACCCCGGUAGUCCCUGUCUCUUAUAC
rnacentral:rRNA from 1 species